AUAUAAAAAAGGUUUUUAUAAAAACUUUUUUUUCUUAUAACCAAACAAAUGAAAAACAAAAAAUCCACACUUUUCUCAACAAACCAAAUAGCCCAUAGCUGAAAAUAUAAGAUAAUUAAGUUUCAAACUUGGAACCUCUCACACCCACUAUUAAUCUUUUAUCACUUGCGCUAAUACGGUUAGUGAGGAUAUGUCAGCUAAAAUCUCUCAUUUUCUCAUCUAUUUUUAUUAUAAGCCCUAAUUGUAUCCAACAUGAUUC
rnacentral:lncRNA from 1 species